rnacentral:rRNA from 1 species
UACGGGAGGCAGCAGUGGGGAAUAUUGCACAAUGGGCGCAAGCCUGAUGCAGCCAUGCCGCGUGUAUGAAGAAGGCCUUCGGGUUGUAAAGUACUUUCAGUCGUGAGGAAGGUGUUAAGGUUAAUAACCUUAGCAAUUGACGUUAGCGACAGAAGAAGCACCGGCUAACUCCGUGCCAGCAGCCGCGGUAAUACGGAGGGUGCGAGCGUUAAUCAGAAUUACUGGGCGUAAAGGGCACGCAGGCGGUUAAUUAAGUUGGAUGUGAAAUCCCCGGGCUUAACCUGGGAAUGGCAUUCAAGACUGGUUAGCUAGAGUCUUGUAGAGGGGGUAGAAUUCCAUGUGUAGCGGUGAAAUGCGUAGAGAUGUGGAGGAAUACCGGUGGCGAAGGCGGCCCCUGGACAAAGGCUGACGCUCAUGUGCGAAAGCGUGGGGAGCAAACGAGGAUUAGAUACC